UGUUAAAGCAUCUGCUUUAUUAUAUCAUCAAGUAUAAAACAAUCAUUUUUCAUUAUUUAUAACAAAAUAAUAAUAGAAUUGUUCGUUUUUUACCUUUCAUUUUGUAACUAUGAACAAUUUAAAUGCCGUAUAUUCAGAUAUCACAACACUAUGAUAAAAACUGAGCCAUGACACAAAUCCAAAAUUUGCCGUCCAUCUGUAGUAUAUUCUGUGACGUUAUCGAAAUGACAAAACUGGGAGGCUUAAGCUAAGACAUGUUGACGGAGAUCUACACAAUUUAAACACGGAAAUGCGGUGGGCUUAUUCCGAAAGGAAUUCCUUCCGUUGCCGCGUUGGUUGGUGGUUAAAAAGAAUUUUGAUUUAACACGAAGUUAUAAUCUUUGACAUGAAAUAUCAGCAUUCGUUUUUUUUACUCACCUCGGCGAGGUAUGAUGCAGUGCGGAUGCUGCAUUUGCAUAAAAGCGUCCAUUAUCCACAGCUUCAGCCGAAUAAAAAUCAAUAGCCAACAGGCAAAUACGCACCCGUUUGUCUACCCGCAUAAAUACAAUAGAUAUAAUUUGUUGUAUAAAAAAGCGAGCAGGCUUGUGUUAUUUUUUCUAGAAUAUUGGUUCUAGAAUUGUUUGUUUAGUAGCUCGUAACAUCACAUGACUUAAAUAGGAACGUAUCCAAUUUUAGUUCUCGGAAAUCGAAGAUAAAUUGAGAUUCAGUAGACGAUAUACAGAUGUAUAUUCAUUAUUACAAAUAUAUACGUCAUCGAGAUAAUGUUUCGUAGGUAUAAUUUUAUUGAAUGAUAAAAUGGUCAAUUAUACAUGCCUAAAUUAUACUUUUUUCAUUAUACAAAGAGCUAUAGAUAGCUUAUUAAGAUGCCACAAAAUUGGUGCUUGAUAAAGAGGAAUACAAUAUACCUUAUUCUGACAAUAAACAUGAUUUCUUAACGUAA